GCCAAUUAAACUUGUAGGAAUUCUCUCUUUCCAGAUCUACCCGUUUCAACGUUCUGACAGUUUUUUUCUUCUGUCAGAACACCCGAAAUUCUUUUUACUCGAUUCCCUUUUAUAGUUUAAUCAUAUAAUGCGUUUCUCAAUCUAUAAUUGAGCAAUUUUGCAGAAAAGGGCCUGCAAGAUCUCUGGCAAUCUGCGCUCAAGUUCCUACGUAUAGCCAU
rnacentral:misc_RNA from 1 species